rnacentral:rRNA from 1 species
UAACACGUGGGUAACCUACCUAUAAGACUGGGAUAACUUCGGGAAACCGGAGCUAAUACCGGAUAACAUUUGGAACCGCAUGGUUCUAAAGUGAAAGAUGGUUUUGCUAUCACUUAUAGAUGGACCCGCGCCGUAUUAGCUAGUUGGUAAGGUAACGGCUUACCAAGGCGACGAUACGUAGCCGACCUGAGAGGGUGAUCGGCCACACUGGAACUGAGACACGGUCCAGACUCCUACGGGAGGCAGCAGUAGGGAAUCUUCCGCAAUGGGCGAAAGCCUGACGGAGCAACGCCGCGUGAGUGAUGAAGGGUUUCGGCUCGUAAAACUCUGUUAUUAGGGAAGAACAAACGUGUAAGUAACUGUGCACGUCUUGACGGUACCUAAUCAGAAAGCCACGGCUAACUACGUGCCAGCAGCCGCGGUAAUACGUAGGUGGCAAGCGUUAUCCGGAAUUAUUGGGCGUAAAGCGCGCGUAGGCGGUUUCUUAAGUCUGAUGUGAAAGCCCACGGCUCAACCGUGGAGGGUCAUUGGAAACUGGGAAACUUGAGUGCAGAAGAGGAAAGUGGAAUUCCAUGUGUAGCGGUGAAAUGCGCAGAGAUAUGGAGGAACACCAGUGGCGAAGGCGACUUUCUGGUCUGUAACUGACGCUGAUGUGCGAAAGCGUGGGGAUCAAACAGGAUUAGAUACCCUGGUAGUCCACGCCGUAAACGAUGAGUGCUAAGUG